rnacentral:lncRNA from 7 species
GGCGCAUGCGCCGUGCGGGCCCGCGGCUGGCGCAUGCGCCGUGCGGGCCCGCGGCUGGCGCGUUUUCUCUUCGAUAAUUUCCCAUUUAACCCGAAAAUCACGCGUUUUCUCUUCAAAAAUCUCUCAUUUAAGCGAAUAUUAUGCGUUUUCUCUACAAAAAUCCCGCAUUUAACCCGAAAAUCACGCAUUUUCUCCGCGCAAAUCCCUCCUCUUAGUAAAAUCACGCGUUUUCUCUUCGAGAAUCCCCCAUUUAACCCAAAAAUCACACGUUUUCUCUUUGAGAAUCCCCCAUUUAACCCGAAAAUCACGCGUUUUCUCCUUGGAAAUUCGCCAUUUAAGUGAAAAUGACACAUUUCUCUUCUGAAAUUUCCCAUUAACCUGAAAACACACGUUUUCUCUUUGAGAAUCCCCC